ensembl:lncRNA
GCAUCAGGCAUGGAUAUCAUGCAAGUAAUGCGGUGAGCAAGGUCCAGUGAGAGAGGGCAGGGAGGUGAAGCCAGGGGCUGCACCUAGUGUUGGGUGGUGGCUGCUCGUCCGUGGUUGGUUUGUGUGUCUCUUGCAGGGUGGCAGAUGGCCAUGCAUUGUGUUGGCGUGUUUGUUGCAGGUCCUUGUUUUCUGCCGGAAAGAGUAAGGUAAUGGGAGACGUGCGACUGCUCUCCUGGUAAGGUCAUUUAUGCCCACCCGUUUUUCAUCCUGGUUUUCCUGGGGCUGAAAUCUGCAUUUCUGUGCUUUGAAGGGAGCUCUUUUGUUAGUGUGUGCAAUCCGCUGUGUCUCCUGCAAUUCCAUUACUGUCCCAGAUAGAGUGAUGAAUUUGCUGGUGUUGGCCGCAGUCUCUGCAUUUUUGACCAG